rnacentral:misc_RNA from 1 species
GAUGAAGAACGCAGCGAAAUGCGAUAAGUAAUGCGAAUUGCAGAAUUCAGUGAGUCAUCGAAUCUUUGAACGCACAUUGCGCCCAUUAGUAUUCUAGUGGGCAUGCCUGUUCGAGCGCCAUUAAGUCCACUUAAGCCCUGCUUAGUGUUGGGAGACUGCUCCAGCGGUGCUACCCUGUAGCUACCCUGCAGCUCCUCAAAGACAGCGGCGGAGUUGUGGUAUCCUCUGAGCUUAGUAACUUGUUCUAGCUUUCGAGUACACCACUUCCCCUGCCGUAAAACCCUUAAUUUUUAAUGGUUGACCUCGGAUCAGGUAGGAAUACCCGCUGAACUUAAGCAUAUCAAUAAGCGGAGGA